rnacentral:tRNA from 1 species
UUUAAUUGAAACCAAAAAGAGGUAUACCACUGUUAAUGGUAAAAUUGAGAUAUAUCUCCAAUUAAG